rnacentral:misc_RNA from 1 species
AAGUCGUAACAAGGUCUCCGUUGGUGAACCAGCGGAGGGAUCAUUACAGAGUUGCAAAACUCCCACACCCUUUGUGAACGCACUGAAACUACUGCUUCGGCGGGCAGCCCUUCAGGGGGUAGCCCGCCGGAGAAGCACUAAACUCUUGUAUUUUGGCUUCUCUGAGUGAUUAUACAAUGAAUCAAAACUUUCAACAACGGAUCUCUUGGUUCUG